rnacentral:lncRNA from 1 species
UGCUUAAAAAUUAAAAUCACCUUCCCGAACUGUACUUUAAAGGGUGGCGGAAUCAGAAGCCAGAUGUCAGUGUUUGUGCGUGAGGAGUGAAAGUCCAAAGUGAUGGGAGAAGGCACCUCAUACUAACCCCCACCCUGCCCUAUACUCACAUACCAAUCAAUCGAGCUUCGGCGGCGGACAGCCAUCUUAGUUUCCCAUGGACAAAGUCACGUGACACUAGUGUCAGCGUGAUGGGGCGGGCAGUUUGGUUAUUUCACUUCUCAAGAGCGGAGACUGGGGUAAAGAGGUGUCCAAGUGUCUCCUGAAGCAAUGUAUAAAUCCACUGACCAGAAAGGCUCCCUCUGGCAGACUUCAGGUUACAGAACGAGGAUAAACAGGUUUUAAGAUACACAAACUGAAGGUGAACAAAGAUGGUCCUGAGAGUCUCUCAGCAUAGGAGGGGAGAGAUGCAGAGAAGAUGUGAGAGACUAGAGCCCCGAGGAAGAGAAUUCAGAAGAAACAUGCCAAGAUUAUAUUGUCACGUUGCUCCAAGUGAGACUGAAUGGGGAACAGAGAACGAUAACAUUUGAAGGCAGAGCUGUUAUCUCCCCAGACAGUAAUAUGAAAUUGUAAGCCGAGAGAAGAAAAGGGCAAAUGAAACACGAUGAGGCAAUAGUAUGAUCUGUAGAAAAGAAGACAUGAUCUGUCUCAGAGGCUCGUGCCUUCCUUCCUAUUCACCCGAGACCCCUUGCCUCUCUUCAGUUAUGCCCAAGACAAAGCCUCGCCAACAGCAAACUGAAGACUUUCAGUUCUGUAAUUAAGGCCAUUACAGGUUACUUCAUGGAGUUGCUGUUGAUACCACCUGCUAGACACUGCCAAGAACCAAGUCACUUCAGUCUACGUGGAGAAAGCUACUGAUCCCACAGAAAACGGAACUAAGAUGUAACCUCUACAGAGGGAGGGAACUCAGGCCCCAUUCAACUGCUACAUGGCUUAGUCCAGUCAACCCAAUGACAACAGAGACAUCUAAAGACUGAUACUCUGAACAGUUGACCAGAUAAUCAGCCCUUUAAUUAGCAACCUUGGAUAUACCCAUUAUAUCAGAGCAGAAUGCCCAAGUACCUAAGGAUCACAAAGAAAAUAUACAGCUAAACUCAGUCUAAGCUAUGUGUUAUAAAGUCAAUAAGUUUCUCACAUAUGCUUCCUGGUGAGAUAGGGGUGAAGUAUCCAAAUUAAGGGUUGCAAAGAGAAUUUAAAAUCAUGUCUUGGCAUGUGAUUAUCAAGACAGAAUAGGCAAUGAGUUGUAAUUCAUCUUCUAAAUAAGAGGAGGAAUGAUCUAAACCAAUAAAGAUGGAGAUAUUCUAAGAGCUCUCUUCAGAUUGGAGGGAAGCCAUCUGCUUAAAAGAGAAGGCACAGGAGAAAAAAAAGAAAGAAAGAAAGAAAGAAAGAAAGAAAGAAAGAAAGAAAGAAAACCUGUUGUCUGCAGCCAGUUGCCAGCAAGAACCCAAGGCC